GCCAGCCCGCUCAAGAAACUCAACGGAAUUGACGGGGCCCGCACAAGCGGCGGAGCAUGUGGAUUAAUUCGAUGCAACGCGAAGAACCUUACCUGGGUUUGACAUACACCGGAAAACCGUAGAGAUACGGUCCCCCUUGUGGUCGGUGUACAGGUGGUGCAUGGCUGUCGUCAGCUCGUGUCGUGAGAUGUUGGGUUAAGUCCCGCAACGAGCGCAACCCUUGUCUUAUGUUGCCAGCACGUGAUGGUGGGGACUCGUAAGAGACUGCCGGGGUCAACUCGGAGGAAGGUGGGGACGACGUCAAGUCAUCAUGCCCCUUAUGUCCAGGGCUUCACACAUGCUACAAUGGCCAGUACAGAGGGCUGCGAGACCGUGAGGUGGAGCGAAUCCCUUAAAGCUGGUCUCAGUUCGGAUCGGGGGCUGCAACUCGACCCCGUGAAGUCGGAGUCGCUAGUAAUCGCAGAUCAGCAACGCUGCGGUGAAUACGUUCCCGGGCCUU
rnacentral:rRNA from 1 species